UGGACUUUGAAAUAGCUAGAUUGGACCUUCGAGCUUGAAACGAUAAGAGGCAUUUUGAAAAUGUUGGAACUAAUGGUAGCAGUUUCAGCCUGAAAGACAUCCAUUAUUGAAUUAGAAUGAACUCCCUGCUUCUGUGUACCUCCGAAGCUCAACGGAGACACCUGAACAAGCAGUACGUCAAAGAAUUCACAAGCAGGAAAUAAUUAAGCGGGUUCUGAUGGCUUACCAAGACCACAACCUGGCUUUUCACCUAAGACUGACAUAAAGAAACAUUCAGCUGAAUGCACUGCAAGUUAGAGCAGCCAAACAUCAGAAACCGUCAACUAAAGUUCGGUAUCUUGGUGUGCCUUUUGUUUGUUUGU